AUUGAGUGUGUGUAAUGAAUGCAUUGUGUGUUUCUGUGUGUGUAAGGGAUGCAUUGUGUGUAACGGUUGCAUUGCUUGUGUGUUUUUCUGUGUGCAAGGGGUGCAUUGUGUGUAUGUGAUGAAUGUCAAUCUCUCCUCCCGCUCCAAUUUCCUUCUCCUCCUCCCAAUUUCUCUCACCCCCCCUCCUUUCUCUCUCACCCACCUUCUUUUUCU